ensembl:snoRNA SNORA74 Small nucleolar RNA SNORA74
UCUAGCAGUAGUCAGCUGUCCAGAUAGCCCCAGGCCUGUGAUGGUGUUACACUGCCGGAAGAGGGCUGUCCUGUCGUGUUCCUCCAGUGGCCUCCGUCACUGUUCUGGUGGCGUCUGCUGCUGGUGGAAGGCAGAGCUGUGUUUCCUUGACAGUGUGCUGAGUGCUCACUUUGGCCACUUAGUUCUAGUCCAGGAGCAGACACA